rnacentral:ncRNA from 2 species
AAAAGUCGUAACAAGGUUUCGGUUACUUUAAAGUAUGGAGCAAUCUUAAUGAUUCUUCCGUGGCGACACUUAUGGAAGCCUUUGCAGCCCCGCAAGGGGUGGGGAGCACGACUGUAAAUAAGUCUCCCUUCAUGCAAGUCAGCACCCGCUGGCAACACGAUCGAAUUGACGGGGACGUCCUAAAGCCUACAACACCAACCUACCCGGGAAACCGAGGUAGGGGCCCGUGCUAACUACACGGGGUGGUAAAAGAAUGUAUGGAUACUCCCUCCGGGGAACUAUGGAUAAUCCGCAGCGAAGACCCUAAGUAGCGCUAGCUAUAUGGGUAACGUUCACAGACUAAGUGGUUGUGGGUGGAGCCUAGCUCUGCUUAAGAUAUAGUCGGGCCCUGCGUGAAAGCGUGGGGGUGAGUCGCUACGAACUCGAACCGUUCCGUAGGUGAACCUGCGGAAGGAUCAUUA